GCACAAGCGGUGGAGCAUGUGGUUUAAUUCGACGCAACGCGAAGAACCUUACCAGGUCUUGACAUCCCUGACAACCCGAGAGAUCGGGCGUUCCCCUUCGGGGGACAGGGUGACAGGUGGUGCAUGGUUGUCGUCAGCUCGUGUCGUGAGAUGUUGGGUUAAGUCCCGCAACGAGCGCAACCCUCGACCUUAGUUGCCAGCAUUCAGUUGGGCACUCUAAGGUGACUGCCGGCUAAAAGUCGGAGGAAGGUGGGGAUGACGUCAAAUCAUCAUGCCCCUUAUGACCUGGGCUACACACGUGCUACAAUGGGCGGUACAAAGGGUCGCGAACCCGCGAGGGGGAGCCAAUCCCAAAAAGCCGCUCUCAGUUCGGAUUGCAGGCUGCAACUCGCCUGCAUGAAGCCGGAAUCGCUAGUAAUCGCGGAUCAGCAUGCCGCGGUGAAUACGUUCCCGGGCCUU
rnacentral:rRNA from 1 species